rnacentral:rRNA from 1 species
UACGGAGGGGGCGAGCGUUAUUCGGAAUCACUGGGCGUAAAGGGCGCGUAGGCGGCCAUAUAAGUCGGGGGUGAAAGCCUGUGGCUCAACCACAGAAUUGCCUUCGAUACUGUAUGGCUCGAGACCGGAAGAGGUAAGUGGAACUGCGAGUGUAGCGGUGAAAUGCGUAGAUAUCUGGAGGAAUACCGGUGGCGAAGGCGGCAUCCUAGACCGGCAUUGACGCUGAGGAGCGAAAGCUAGGGGAGCAAACGGG